UGGCUCAGAACGAACGCUGGCGGCGUGCCUAACACAUGCAAGUCGAACGGAUAUGAGGGGCUUGCUCCUCAAGUUAGUGGCGCACGGGUGAGUAACGCGUAGAUAAUCUGCCUGAUGAUCCGGGAUAACACUUCGAAAGGGGUGCUAAUACCGGAUAAGCCCACGGUAUCUUUGGAUUCUGCGGGAAAAGGGGGGGACCUUCGGGCCUUCUGUCAUCAGAUGAGUCUGCGUACCAUUAGCUAGUUGGUAGGGUAAUGGCCUACCAAGGCUACGAUGGUUAGCUGGUUUGAGAGAAUGAUCAGCCACACUGGAACUGAGACACGGUCCAGACUCCUACGGGAGGCAGCAGUGGGGAAUUUUGCGCAAUGGGCGAAAGCCUGACGCAGCAACGCCGCGUGAGUGAUGAAGGCUUUCGGGUCGUAAAGCUCUGUCGAUGGGAAAGAAGUGUAUUGGGGCUAAUAUCCUUGAUACUUGACGGUACCCAUAAAGGAAGCACCGGCUAACUCCGUGCCAGCAGCCGCGGUAAUACGGGGGGUGCAAGCGUUGUUCGGAUUUAUUGGGCGUAAAGAGCGUGUAGGCGGUUUGUUUAGUCUGAUGUGAAAGCCCUGGGCUCAACCCAGGAAGUGCAUUGGAAACUGGCAGACUUGAAUACGGGAGAGGGCAGUGGAAUUCCUAGUGUAGGAGUGAAAUCCGUAGAUAUUAGGAGGAACACCGGUGGCGAAGGCGGCUGCCUGGACCGAUAUUGACGCUGAGACGCGAAAGCGUGGGUAGCAAACAGGAUUAGAUACCCUGGUAGUCC
rnacentral:rRNA from 1 species